ACCGCCCUCUUUCUUCAUGCCUAACACAUGCAAGUCGAACGAUGCCUUCGGGCAUAGUGGCGCACGGGUGCGUAACGCGUGGGAAUCUGCCUUUCGGUUCGGAAUAACUCAGGGAAACUUGAGCUAAUACCGGGUAACGUCGCAAGACCAAAGAUUUAUCACCGAAAGAUGAGCCCGCGUAGGAUUAGCUAGUUGGUGAGGUAAAGGCUCACCAAGGCGACGAUCCUUAGCUGGUCUGAGAGGAUGAUCAGCCACACUGGGACUGAGACACGGCCCAGACUCCUACGGGAGGCAGCAGUGGGGAAUAUUGGACAAUGGGCGAAAGCCUGAUCCAGCAAUGCCGCGUGAGUGAUGAAGGCCUUAGGGUUGUAAAGCUCUUUUACCCGGGAAGAUAAUGACGGUACCGGGAGAAUAAGCCCCGGCUAACUCCGUG
rnacentral:rRNA from 1 species